rnacentral:rRNA from 1 species
AACGAACGCUGGCGGCAUGCCUAACACAUGCCAGUCGAACGAGACCUUCGGGUCUAGUGGCGCACGGGUGCGUAACGCGUGGGAACCUGCCCUUAGGUUCGGAAUAACUCCCCGAAAGGGGUGCUAAUACCGGAUAAUGUCUUCGGACCAAAGAUUUAUCGCCUUUGGAUGGGCCCGCGUUGGAUUAGCUAGUUGGUAGGGUAAAAGCCUACCAAGGCGACGAUCCAUAGCUGGUCUGAGAGGAUGAUCAGCCACACUGGGACUGAGACGCGGCCCAGACUCCUACGGGAGGCAGGAGUGGGGAAUAUUGGAAAAUGGGCGAAAGCCUGAUCCAGCAAUGCCGCGUGAGUGAUGAAGGCCUUAGGGUUGUAAAGCUCUUUUACCCGGGAUGAUAAUGACAGUACCGGGAGAAUAAGCUCCGGCUAACUCCGUG